rnacentral:piRNA from 1 species
UCAGUAGGGUACCUCAAAUAU